CAUCGUCAGAUGAGAAAUCCGACGCUGUGACUCUCCACAAGUCGUCCUUCAGGUCGUUAUCUUUGUAAUGUUUGUGUCUUUUAUCAAAAAUCACUCUGUUCUCCGACACGUAAACAAUCAGCCGGUCGGCCAUGUUGGAUAUACCGGUGAAUCUGACGUCGCAACAACACGCAAUCUGAUUGGUCAGAAGUGGACACACAGUAUGAGAAACUUUAGAAAAAUUGACUGUGAUGCGAAAAAAUAAAUGCCACAAUAUCGCAGGACGGGAAAACGUCACUGAUGUGAACGCUUGUAUUGACAGGAUACGGGUUCGAAAAAAAACAUUGACGUCUGAAAUAAUCAAACAUAAUAAUCGUAACAUUACCGAAACCCUCCUCUUACAGAUAAAGGUUGUUAAGUUAAAGGACAUAAAUGCACCGAUUCUGCAGGGAUACCACAGGUGUCUGUGAGGGGGCCUCAAUACAAAUCUGCUCAGGACCCCCCUUUUUUCAGAGGCACCCCUGUGUAUAUAAAGAACUUUUGC